rnacentral:tRNA from 2 species
GCGUCGGUACUCAAGUGGUCAACGAGGAGGGACUGUAAAUCCCUUGACUUCGGUCUUCGUUGGUUCGAAUCCAACCCGGCGCACCA